CGCGGUAUUUUAACCGUGCAAAGGUAGCAUAAUCAUUAGUUUUUUAAUUGAAGGCUUGUAUGAAUGAUUGGACGAGAUAUUAACUGUUUCAUAUAAAAUUAAAUAGAAUUUUAUUUUUUAGUUAAAAAGCUAAAAUUAUAAUAAAAGACGAGAAGACCCUAUAGAUCUUAAUAAUUUAUAUAUUUUAUUUAUAUAGAAAUUUUAAAAUGCUAUAUUAAAAAAUUAUUUUAUUGGGGUGAUAAUAAAAUUUAAUUAACUUUUAUAUAAAAUUUACAUUAAUUAAUGAAUAUUUGGUCCAUUAUUAGUGAUUAAUAAAUCAAGUUACCUUAGGGAUAACAGCGUAAUUUUUUUAGAGAGUUCAUAUCGAUAAAAAAGAUUGCGACCUCGAUGUUGGAUUAAG
rnacentral:rRNA from 1 species